AUGGCGUGGUUCGCAGGAUCAGAAUUGGCGAGGCGACAGAUGAGAGGGAGCACAGUUCAAGCAAAGUGCCUGCCCUGGAGGCUUCAGUUCCUGCUUCUGUCGACAACAAGACUGGAAAUGCUAUUAAUUCAGCAAUUGGCACUAGCUUCGGUUCUGUCGAGGAGGGUACAAAUUUUACAAUCUCUACUCGUGGGAAGUUGGUUUUGGUGUCCGUUACGCAAAAAGCCGUUUGAAUGUACACCGGAAGAAGUGCAUGCAGGAGAUAGUGUGCGCCUGUGCGUGUGCGGGUGUAAACCAUUGCAGGCUAACAGCAGGUCGACUAGGUGUGGGUGCAAAGCGAUGAUGCAGCUGCUGAGAUCAGAUGAUGCUGGCUGGUAUGUGUGCGAGCACAGGUCAGGUCACAUCCAUGAUCUAUCAGUUAACUGUGGAGAGAAAUUGCAUUGGAAGUCACACCGGCACAUAGAUAGUUACACAAGCGACCUGGUUAAGCAACUGAGGGAGAACAAUAUAAGCACUAGCAAAGUUUACAGUGUUGUGGGCAGUUUCUUUGGGACGAUAGAGGACGCACCAUUCACGAAACGGUCCUAA
rnacentral:rRNA from 1 species